GAGGGUAUAACUCAAGCGCUAGAGCACAUGCUUAGCAUGCAUGAGGCCCUGGGUUCAAUCCCCAGGACCUCCU
rnacentral:tRNA from 1 species